CGGUUUCCGUGACGCAGCUAACGCAUUAAGUUCCCCGCCUGGGGAGUACGGCCGCAAGGUAAAACUCAAAGGAAUUGACGGGGACCCGCACAAGCGGCGGAGCUGUGGAUUAAUUCGAUGCAACGGAAGAACCUUACCAAGGCUUGACAUAUACCAGAACGGGCCAGAAAUGGNCAACUCUUUGGACACUCGUAAACAGGUGGUGCAUGGUUGUCGUCAGCUCGUGUCGUGAGAUGUUGGGUUAAGUCCCGCAACGAGCGCAACCCUCGUUCUAUGUUGCCAGCACGUAAUGGUGGGAACUCAUGGGAUACUGCCGGGGUCAACUCGAAGAAGGUNGGGGAUGACGUCAAAUCAUCAUGCCCCUUAUGUCUUGGGCUUCACGCAUGCUACAAUGGCCGGU
rnacentral:rRNA from 1 species